rnacentral:rRNA from 1 species
UACGUAGGGGGCUAGCGUUGUCCGGAUUUAUUGGGCGUAAAGAGCGUGUAGGCGGCCAGGUAGGUCUGCUGUGAAAACUCGAGGCUCAACCUCGAGACGUCGGCGGAAACCAUCUGGCUAGAGUCCGGAAGAGGAGAGUGGAAUUCCUGGUGUAGCGGUGAAAUGCGUAGAUAUCGGGAGGAACACCUGUGGCGAAGGCGGCCCCCUGGUUGGAUACUGACGCUGAUACGCGAAAGCGUGGGGAGCAACAGG